GACGAACCGAGCGAACGUUGUUCGGAAUCACUGGGCUUAAAGGGCGCGUAGGCGGGCUGUCAAGUCUGGGGUGAAAUCCCGCGGCUCAACCGCGGAACUGCCUCGGAUACUGACGGCCUCGAGGGGGGUAGGGGCGAGCGGAACUGAUGGUGGAGCGGUGAAAUGACGUUGAUAUCAUCAGGAACUCCGGUGGCGAAGGCGGCUCGCUGGACCCCGUCUGACGCUGAGGCGCGAAAGCCAGGGGAGCAAAGCGGG
rnacentral:rRNA from 1 species